AACGAACGCUGGCGGCAGGCUUAACACAUGCAAGUCGAACGAGCUGGGGGCUUCGGUCCCCGAUGCUAGUGGCGCACGGGUGAGUAACACGUGGGAAUAUGCCCUUUAGUACGGAAUAACCAAGGGAAACUUUGGCUAAUACCGUAUACGCCCUUCGGGGGAAAGAUUUAUCGCUAAAGGAUUAGCCCGCGUCUGAUUAGGUAGUUGGUGAGGUAAUGGCUCACCAAGCCGAGGAUCAGUAGCUGGUCUGAGAGGAAGAUCAGCCACACUGGGACUGAGACGCAGCCCAGACUCCUACGGGAGGCAGCAGUGGGGAAUAUAGGACAAUGGGGGCAGCCCUGAUCCAGCCAUGCCGCGUGAGUUAAGAUGUCCGUCGGGAAGUAAAGCUCUUUCGACGGGGACGAUGAUGACGGUACCCGUAUAAGAAGCCCCGGCAAACUUCGUG
rnacentral:rRNA from 1 species